UGUCAAAACAGUUCUAUGAAAGUACUACUUGGAAAACAGUUGCCUGCAACACCCAGCAGAUUGCACUCGUAGACCAAGUGCCUCACCAGUUACAACCUCACUUAAAAGAUCUUUAAAGAUCAAGCGCUCAACAUCCAGAACUAACAAUGGGAGUUCACUACUAUAAGUCGUCCAAUGCGUUGAUUGAUGCUUCAAAUCUGCCCGUAAGAUGUUUCCCAAACAGUCAUCCUCAUCUUGUAAGCUGCAGUGUGAGGCAUUACCUUGCAGUCUGUCUACCUCGGAGCACAAUUCCCCCAAAAGCUUUUGUCCUCUUGGUCUUCUGUCCGCUAGCAUAUUUGGUGAGUGCCAAUACUUCGAACAACUUUCCAGACGUAAUUUGUGAGCUAGGAUUUCAUUCACAACAUCAAAUACAAGUUUUCUUUGGAUUUUGAUAUGAUGUUCUGACUGGGAAGCAUUUGCUCCCCUCUCUUUAUCAUUUGAAUUCGUGGUGCCUGCCUUAGCUUUUUCCAAGGCUAGGAAUAAAUCGGGGUCGACUGGGUAGCGUGUUUCAUGGAGGUGAAUGAUUGUAAAACCAGAUUCAAAAUCUUUCAGGAGACCUGAUGACAAUAGGAUUUCUAAAAUGUAUUGAUGGUCUGGGUUUGUCCUGUUGUAGUGAGGUGUAAUUUCAUCAAUGAAGGGUACCUUCUGAGCAGAUAACAUCAGUGUAAGAUCGUGAAUUAAGAGAUGGAUGUUGUCCGAUUUCUUAUGAUUGAUCACAGAAUGGAAAAUAUCGUUUGUGCUGCUGGAAGAGUGAUUUAGGUCCGUAGGAUUCCACUCAAUCUCAUCUUCUGUGGCACGAAAAUGAAUUGAGAAUUUUUAAAAAAAAUGCAUUUUUCAAUAAAUAUAACCAUGAAAGGGUUUGCUCUAUCCCUCUCCUUCUCGGACUUAUCAUGUAUGACUUCUAGUCAUUUAUAGAUAUGAUCCAUCUGUUAUCUUUUUUUAUUUCCUUAUAUUUUGUUGAAGCAUGAUCUCUAACGGUUUCAUUCACUAGUGUCCUUUUUCUUACCUUUUUCCUCCUCACAAGAUAUGAUUAUUAUAUCAUUCAACUCUUAAAUAAGGUCUGAGUAACUAUUAAAAGAGGAACUUGGAUCCUCACCUUUGAAGGCAACUGGUUUCUUCUUAAUGGGAGAUGGCAAGUCAUCAUUGUAGAAUGUUGCAUCAAGAACAGACACAGGACUUGGUUGUGCCGAGGAAACUACUGCUGGUUCUGCAAUUGAUCUAUCUUUCAUUGAUCUUGCUACUGUUUUCUGAAUGAGAGAAAAUGAAUCUGUCAAGUAGAUAGUUUGAAUGAUAUACAGAUGAAUAAGAGGAAGAAAAUAUACUUUUCGUCUCUGGUGAGCUUGCUGGAUAGAGUUGUUAUUGAUAUUAUUAGAUUUAUCAAUGCUUGAGACUUCUUCAUCAAUUUGUGAGGCUAAGCUAAUUGUACUCUCGGAUUGCAGUGAAAUUGUGUCCCCUUGGUGACUUAAAUCCCUCACAUAACUACCACUAUCACUCAAUUCGUCAUAACUUGGCUCCAGAUUUACAGAUUUUGGUCUCAGUUUUCUGCCUGGGGAAGCUGCUUCUGUAAGCUGUCUACUGGACUGCCUCUGGUUCCUGAUUGAAUCUGUUGAUUGUGUUGUGGGACGAGGUUGCUUCUCCAAACCAGUCUUUUUAUGUGGCUGUCUCAGGUUCAAGUUUCCCGAGCUCUUACUUGAGUUCUCUCUAGUAGUGGACUGAGGCCCUUUUGAAGUUUGCGACAGCUUUGUCGAUCUGGCAGCAGUAUUUUUAUCCACUGGACGAGAUGGUAGAUUGGAUCGGUCCCUAAGACGGUUGGCCCUGGGAGUUAGAUCUUUAGCAGUUUGCUUGUCAAUUAAUUCCUUUCUGCUAUCUUCAGAGUCAGCAGUCUGGAGUCCAUGCAGAACUGAAAAACUUUGAGUUGGGCUUACUGGGGAAGCAGGAUUACUGGCCUUGAUGAGUUUAGCAGGUUUCAUAAUCACUAUUGGAGAUUUAAAACUCUUUGGUGAACCAGUCUCCCUGGUAAGGUUGGAAAUGGGGCUAUUACUCUGGAGGUUGUACAGACUUGGUAAUUUUGAAUUCUGAUGGACAUUGCUGUUAGUGCGUGCCUGAGUUCCUAACUUUGUAUCUUCAUUUCUGGUCUCUAUUAUCUCUGUUGUCUUCUGCAUUGCUUCGAGUAUUUGUUUAAGAGCUCUGAGAUCAGUUCCAGACCUUUUAAACUCCAGUUGUGCCAACUUUUUCUCUAUUUCACCAUAAACAGAGAGAGAGGUGUUUGGGGCUUUUGGUGGAGUUAUCCGACUCUUCAAAGUUGGUGUUUCAGAACCUCUGCUUCCAUCUGGCUGCCUCCACGGUGCUGUUUCUAUUGGAAACUUUGAAUUUGGGAUAGGCUUCUUAACUGAAUCAACAUUUCUCAGCCGAGGUGAGAUAGGUUCCUUCUGAAGGUUUCUUGGGGAGCCAGGAACUCGAUUUUGCUUGUUCUCAUCGGUGGAUCUUGAUGCUCCGAGGGAGGGAUUCUUUUCAACAUCUGGGUGUGUUUUGAUGUGUCUUGUCUGAUUCCCAUUGGCUGACAUGGAACCUGGGAGAGCUUCCAAUCCCAUCAACUUGGCCACAACGUUAGACAGUCGUGUAUGGCUUUCAGGUUCUUGUUGGUUUAAGAAAUUGCUGAAGUUCCUAUUCCCCCUCUCUAAAUCUCCUAUAGGAUCACUUGAUUUCAUUUCAGUGGUGGAACCCCUCAUGGAUCCUGUUCUGCUGUCCAAUGAUAGCCUUGGCAACUCCCUAAGCUUUAUUGCGGAUUUGUAUGUGUCUCUUGAUUCCCUUCCGUCAUAAGAGAACCGUCGAGCAUCCUUCAGUCGAGAAGUUGAUGACACAAGCUUCUCUUCACUGGAUUUGCGAGGUUCUUCCUGAAGCUUGUGAAGAACUUGAAAUGAUCCCUUUAGACCUGAAACUUUGGGGUUUACAGAUUUUGGCUGCUGCAGAGGUCUUGGGGAAUCAAAGUACUUCAAGGUUUGGCCCCGAGAUUCCCCUUUGCUUACAGUUUUGACUGAUAAGCCACGGGCUUCUCUGUAGAUGGAGUCUUUGACAACAUCUCUGAGAUCAAGAGAUUGCUGGCUUGACUGGAAAGAAGCGUUUGGUUGGUAAAUGGGUGAAGGUAAAUCUCGAACACGAGUUUCAGGACCAAUGGUUUGAUUGAAUGAACAUGGUUCCAGGUGAGAUGCUCUGUUGCAUUCUAAUGAUGAGAGACUAGAUGAACAGGAGGAGGAUGAAAACGAGGUUCUGGAUGACUCUGUGGAGACUCUCUGUUUCUCUUUGAUGGCCUUGUGCUUCUUUUCUGUGGUCUUCUGAGAUGUACUCUUGGGCUCUAUACUAUGGUUGCCAUUUUGACCUGCUGGAAGUCUCUUGUGGUUUUGGCCAGUGAUACGGCGGCCACCACCGAGGAAAUGGUGACGGUCAAAGAGUUGAAAAAUUCCAUUCAUACAUCCAAUCUGUUUCUGCAGAUCUGGGUUUUCAUCUGAUAAAGUAUGGAUGAAUUUUGCAGACAUCUCUCUUCAAUGUAGAGAACGAAAACAGAGAAGACUCCUGUAAAACAAACUUAUUUAGCAUCAAAUUCUAACUCUCCAUCAGAAGUUUCAACAUUCCAUAACCUUCGAAAAUGCAGAAGAAACCAAAGAUGAGCUCAUUAGAAUCUUAGAAGAUUUUAACAUAAAUUAUGAAUUGAAUGUUUAAUGGUGGUCGCUCCACCAAUUGUUUUCCACUUCUCUGGCUAGUUACAACUUUGAGAGAACAUAGACUGUAGUUAUAGGUUUCUCUAAGAAGCAAGAGUAGAGGUUAUAGUUAUUCUGGAGUCCUCUCUUCCUGGGUUUUCAGGGAAUUCUUUUGAGUAGCAGAAGCUAACGAGGAAGAAGAUUUAAAGACAGAAGGAAAGAAACAAAGAACCUCUCAUCAUUACUCUACAACUGAGGAGAAAGAUAAUUGUUUCUCGGGUUUCACAGAGCAAGGCAAAAAACAAUAUCUUCUGCCAAAGCCAAAAGAAACAAAAAAGAAGGAUAAAAAGAGGAGGAAGAUGGGAAGGGACCCAACAUCCUAACAGUUAGCCAUUAGCCACACUUUCUAUGGAUUAUGAAAGGAAAAUGCAGUAGGGAAGUUCUGCAGACCCAAGAAGAGAUGUUUUGGGGGUUUCUUCACGUAACAAAAGAAUAAUUUGUCUUUUGGCUCUCUGUAGGAAAUAUAAAGGCAGCUGAGGAGGUCUGUAUUAUAUGCAAAGCCUUUGGAGAGAAUGAGAAAAUGGUACCAAAAGCCGAUCUUUUUUAUUGCUGCAUUUGCGUAAGAAUGGAUGUGGGAUGUUGGGUCAAAUCUGAUGUGUGAGAUGAGUGUGAGAGAGGGGC
rnacentral:misc_RNA from 1 species